rnacentral:rRNA from 1 species
UAGGGAAUCUUCGGCAAUGGACGAAAGUCUGACCGAGCAACGCCGCGUGAGUGAAGAAGGUUUUCGGAUCGUAAAACUCUGUUGUUAGAGAAGAACAAGGACGUUAGUAACUGAACGUCCCCUGACGGUAUCUAACCAGAAAGCCACGGCUAACUACGUGCCAGCAGCCGCGGUAAUACGUAGGUGGCAAGCGUUGUCCGGAGUUAUUGGGCGUAAAGCGAGCGCAGGCGGUUUCUUAAGUCUGAUGUGAAAGCCCCCGGCUCAACCGGGGAGGGUCAUUGGAAACUGGGAGACUUGAGUGCAGAAGAGGAGAGUUGAAUUCCAUGUGUAGCGGUGAAAUGCGUAGAUAUAUGGAGGAACACCAGUGGCGAAGGCGGCUCUCUGGUCUGUAACUGACGCUGAGGCUAGAAAGCGUGGGGAGCAAACAGG